GCUAGCGUAGCUCAACGGCAGAGUUCCUGUUUUGUAAACAGGCGGUUGUGGGUUCGAAUCCCUCCGCUAGCUC
rnacentral:tRNA from 1 species